rfam:Glycine soja cultivar W05 scaffold511_14, whole genome shotgun sequence.
AUCUGGUGGUGAGGACAACUGGUGCAUAAUUUUUUGAAUCUUUCCCAGUAUUCAUAUAGGCUUUCUCCACUGAGUUGCCUGAUGCCUGAAAUAUCCUUUCUAAUGGC